CCUGCCCUUAGAAGUGCUGAUGUGGCUGCUGUGUCACAUGUGAGUCAGUAGGUGGCAGAGAAAAGAGAAAGGCUAUGUCUAACCUGAGUGUUCUAACUUAGGAACAUCUGGAUGAUAGCCUAACAUU